AGAUAAACUCAUUUCUUCUUCUUCUUCUCCUUUCUCGUUUCUUCUUCUUCUUUCCUCUUUCAUCUUCUACUUCUCCCCUAUUCUUCGUCUGCCGAUAUUCUGAGAAUUGAAAGAGGAUUUUGAGAUUUAAUCAAGAGUAGAAAUAUCAUGCAAAGUUUGAUGGUGGUAGUUUUGGUUGAUGUGCUGAAAUCAAACCCAACAAAAAAAGUGAAACCGAGAAUUAUAAUUAGGGUUUCAUGAGAUUUACAUAAAAGGAUGAGAAUAUGAAAUUGAAGGUUUAAAUAAGUGAUUAGAGAUGGGUUUGAAGUGAAUUAGAAUAUUGAUUGAAGCAGGGUUGUACUAGCAGUGAAGAUGGAUUCAAUUUAAGAGUUAGGAUUUUCUGUUCUUCCCCAAAUUGAAAAUAGGGUUUCUGUAAAUUGAUUUAGAAUUUGAUUCAAGUAAGAAUUAAGAUGAGUUACAGAUGGAAAAGAUGAGACUGAUGGAUAAUAAUAAAGGAAGAAGAGAACUUCUGAGUUUAUAUUUAAGGUAAUCUCUCUCAGUAACUUAGUAUAGUGAUUAAUUUCAAUUGUUGAGUUUAUAAGUUAUGGAUGUUGGUGUAUGACGAAACAGAAGUUUAUAAUAUGUUGAAUUAUAAAGAUGAGAAGGGUUGGAGUUAGUUGUGCUUGUAAUUGAUAUGUGUAUAGGGUAUGGCUUUGGUAGGAAUUAUAUGAACUGGAUUCAGGAAGUCGUAGAAUUGAUGUAGUAAUCAUUAUAGUUGAAGAUGGUUGUAAGUAUGAAGAUUUAUGAAGUUAUGGUGUACAAGUUAUGGCUGUAAUGAAUUUGAGUUAAGUUAUGUGAAGUUGUAGAGUACAGGAAAAAGGGUUGGUGGUGUGGCUUCAUGAAAAUGGAGUUGAGAUUAGUGAUUGGGUUUGAAUGGGUGCAUGUGUAUGCGUAUGGAUGAAUCUGUAAUAGAGAUUUAAGAGGAAUGAUGUUUUUAUUGUGACUGUGGUGGUAUAGUAGAAUGCAAGAAAGAAGUUCAAAAAGAUAUAUGGAUUGUUGUGUGUAUUGGUGGGUGACUGGAUAUGUAGCUGAGGUUACUCUGCUUUGCAGAUGAGUUGCAGAUACUGGAGUUUGUUGUGCUAGUGGCAAUUCAGUUGGAGAAUUAGUCUUGUAGUUUGGGAAUACAAGUGAUUAAGUUGGUUUAGUUGUGAACCUGAAGUUGCAGUUCAUGAAGUAUUGUGAUUAUUGAGUUGUAGAUAGUAAUUGCUGUGAAAAGCUUAAAGCUGCUAUUGCUGUUAGUCCAUUAACAACGAUCGAUUCGAAGGAUGAACCAGUGGAUCGUGGAUCUCGAGGUAAGCGUGGCUUGUCAUCAAAAGAGGUGGGAAUACAUUUGACUCUUUUGUAACCAUUGUUGGUUCUUUUACAAAAUUUUUUGCUUAACAAACUCAUGCAUUGUCUAGUGUGCAUUCCAUGCUUUGUUUAAAUUGCUUUACUAUACUUCUGUUGCAUUGUCUAGUGUACACGUUUGUUUAUUUCAGUGACCUUGCCACUUUUUAAUGUUUGGGAAAACAUUAUUGUUUUCCAAAUCUUGCCAUGAUUACUUGAAAGUUAGAUGUUAAUCCUACUGGGCACCUCUUUUAGGGAUGAUGUGCUCACCAAUUCCCACUUUCAGUUUCAGAGACGGAUCAGAGUUGCGCAGCGAAAGCUUCAAGGGUUGUUUCCGUUAGUUGGUUAACUUCUAUUAUGUUAAUUAUAUUACAUAUUGUAUCUGUAAAUCAAAUGACUAUUGUAUAUGUAUUAUUUGAGAGGAGUUCUUGUAUAAAUAUAUGUUUCAGAGCGGUUAUUUUUGGGUUAA